rnacentral:ncRNA from 1 species
AUAUAAACGUUGAUUGGAAAAGGAAGAUUAGUAAUAUUAUAGAGAGUUAACGGAUGGUGAAAGUUAAUAUAGAGCUAAUCUUUUAGACACCAUGAGUGCUUAAAGAAUUAAGUAGACUAAGCCGGCCAUAGACCGUUAUCCUUAAAGAGAGACUAUUAAGUAAUUAAGGUGGUACCGCGGAUUAACAGUGAUUCGUCCUUUGU